rnacentral:siRNA from 1 species
UCAUUAUUCUCUUUUUCUUGAC